GACGAACGCUGGCGGCGUGCUUAACACAUGCAAGUCGAACGGAGUGGCGAACGGGUGAGUAACACGUGGGUGAUCUGCCUUGCACUUAGGGAUAAGCUUGGGAAACUGGGUCUAAUACCGGAUAGUGCAAGAUGAGCUCGCGGCCUAUCAGCUUAUGGGUGGGGUAAUGGCCUACCAAGGCGUCGACGGGUAGCCGUCCUGAGAGGGUGUACGGCCACAGUGGGACUGAGAUGCUGCCCAGCCUCCUACGGGAGGCAGCAGUGGGGAAGAUUUCACAAUGGGCGGAAGCCUGAUGCAGCGACGCCGCGUGGGGGAUGAAGGCCUUCGGGUUGUAAACUCCUUUCGACAGGGACGCGGUACCUGGAUAAGAAGCACCGGCUAACUACGUGCCAGCAGCCGCGAUAAUUC
rnacentral:rRNA from 1 species